GCGGGUGUGGCGGAACUGGAAGACGCGCCAGGUUUAGGUCCUGGUGGGCGCUGCCCGUGGAGGUUCGAGUCCUCUCACCCGCA
rnacentral:tRNA from 1 species